rnacentral:rRNA from 1 species
UUCCGGUUGAUCCCGCCGGACCCGACUGCUAUCAGAGUGGGACUAAGCCAUGCGAGUCAACGCCGCAAGGCGUGGCAUACGGCUCAGUAACACGUAGUCAACAUGCCCAAAGGACGUGGAUAACCUCGGGAAACUGAGGAUAAACCGCGAUAGGCCAAGGUUUCUGGAAUGGACCAUGGCUGAAAUCUAUAUGGCCUUUGGAUUGGACUGCGGCCGAUCAGGCUGUUGGUGAGGUAAUGGCCCACCAAACCUGUUACCGGUACGGGCUUUGAGAGAAAGAGCCCGGAGAUGGGCACU